CCGGUGGAAUUCCGCCUCCUGCCAGGAACAGCUCACCUGUUUUUUCGUGUUUAUUGUCCAGGUGUGGAACUUGUUGUUGGUGUGUGUGAAGAAACUACUGACUGAAGUCCGCAAGAAGAUGAUGAUGGAGGACGAGGAGAACAGAGCAGAGUCUGCAGGAGCCAGCUGUCCAUCUAUGAGGAGUGACAGGUCCAAACCUCAACCUCCAGACUUCAGUGCUGAACCUGGACAAACUAGAGUGACACCUCCUACUGCAGCUCCAACUGCAGCUCCCACUGCAGCUCCCACCGGUCCCCCCACAGCUCCAACAGCACCUCC